rnacentral:misc_RNA from 1 species
GAUGAAGAACGCAGCGAAAUGCGAUACGUAAUGUGAAUUGCAAAUUCAGUGAAUCAUCGAGUCUUUGAACGCACAUUGCGCCCCCUGGUAUUCCGGGGGGCAUGCCUGUCCGAGCGUCAUUGCUGCCCUCAAGCACGGCUUGUGUGUUGGGCCCCGUCCUCCGAUCCCGGGGGACGGGCCCGAAAGGCAGCGGCGGCACCGCGUCCGGUCCUCGAGCGUAUGGGGCUUUGUCACCCGCUCUGUAGGCCCGGCCGGCGCUUGCCGAUCAACCCAAAUUUUGUAUCCAGGUUGACCUCGGAUCAGGUAGGGAUACCCGCUGAACUUAAGCAUAUCAAUAAGCGGAGGA